UGUAGUUAACACCUGCACUACUUUGACGUUACCUACAGAAGAAGCACCGGCUAACUCCGUGCCAGCAGCCGCGGUAAUACGGAGGGUGCGAGCGUUAAUCGGAAUUACUGGGCGUAAAGCGCAUGCAGGCGGCCUGUUAAGUCAGAUGUGAAAGACCCGGGGCGUUAACCUCGGAAUUGCAUUUGAAACUGGCAGGCUAGAGUCUUGUAGAGGGGGGGUAGGAAUUUCAGGUAUAGCGGUGAAAUGCGUAGAGAUCUGAAGGAAUACCAGUGGCGAAGGCGGCCCCCUGGACAAAGACUGACGCUCAGAUGCGAAAGCAUGGGGGAGCAAACAGGAUUAGAUACCCCUGGUAG
rnacentral:rRNA from 1 species